GUCAGGAUGGCCGAGUGGUCUAAGGCGCAGGACUCAAGAUUCUGGUCUCCGAUAGGAGGUGUGGGUUUAAAUCCCACUUCUGACA